rnacentral:rRNA from 1 species
AGUGAACGCUGGCGGUAGGCCUAACACAUGCAAGUCGAACGGCAGCACAGUAAGAGCUUGCUCUUACGGGUGGCGAGUGGCGGACGGGUGAGGAAUACAUCGGAAUCUACUUUUUCGUGGGGGAUAACGUAGGGAAACUUACGCUAAUACCGCAUACGACCUACGGGUGAAAGCAGGGGAUCUUCGGACCUUGCGCGAUUGAAUGAGCCGAUGUCGGAUUAGCUAGUUGGCGGGGUAAAGGCCCACCAAGGCGACGAUCCGUAGCUGGUCUGAGAGGAUGAUCAGCCACACUGGAACUGAGACACGGUCCAGACUCCUACGGGAGGCAGCAGUGGGGAAUAUUGGACAAUGGGCGCAAGCCUGAUCCAGCCAUACCGCGUGGGUGAAGAAGGCCUUCGGGUUGUAAAGCCCUUUUGUUGGGAAAGAAAAGCAGCAGGUUAAUACCCCGCUGUUCUGACGGUACCCAAAGAAUAAGCACCGGCUGACUGCGU